rnacentral:lncRNA from 1 species
UUUUUCAAUUUUUUCUGGGUACUUUGAAAAAAAGUCAAAAUUUUGACAACAAUCUGGCUCAAUUUGGACAUCAUUUUGACUGUUUUUUGGCUUUUCAACAAUUUUGUGCACAUAAUAUCGAAAUUCAAACAGAUAUUUCCAGAUGCAUAUAUUCAUAUACCAUGACACAAUAUGAAGAGAACAUAGCAAAAUAAAGCAUUUAACAUGUCCAUACAUCAUAUCUCGCCGCCUAGGCCCUGCACAAGCAACCGCAGCUCGACCUCCCCUGUGUGCUGGCGGAGCUCGCCGCGCGACAUGCUAGAGAGGUGCGCCGGUGACUUCGUGUCCUUAACACCAGUGAACAUGCAGUAGCGAGGGCGGUAAUGAACAACAUCAGCAGUGGAGUCAUGGCGGCAUCGACCCGAGGCCCUUUUGGUGGCCGUGAGGAGAUGGACGCGUGCGCAGGUGCUGAAAAUGGAGAAUGCAAGUAACCUAUAAGUUAUGUUUGAUGUAAUUAUUUACUUGUUCUUGGAUUCAAAUUUGGAAAUUACGUUAAGAAUAGGAUGCCACGUUUAGUUUCACGGCUUGGGUCAACUGAGCAACAAUACAAGAAAGGAAUACCACAAAUUUCAGUCUACCCGUUCCGCUGCACUUGUUGUAGGAGCCAUCAUCAUGAUAGUUAUUUGUUUCCCUAUCUAACACAAAUUGUUUAUCACCAAGAUAGUUUAGAUAUUUCUAUAGAACAAGAUGAGACAUAUAUAAGCUUCAUGCAUCUAAUUCUUGACUUCCAGAAAAGAAAACCAAACAUCUAACGUGGUGACUAGUUAAAUGCAUGUUAACCACCAUACUGAACUAGUACUGUAGCAUCUAGAUUUUAAGAGAUUCAGAAAAUUCGCUAGUACAUUUUUCCUUAAUCUAAUGUGGUUCCAAUGGCAUGUGGGAUAACAUGACAUCAUGCUAACUGAACUAUGCAGAAUAGAAUUUACAUACCCUCAAUUUUCCCUAGUAUACUUUGACUAACUGUAAGUUGUCUCUGAUGUGCAGGUUAACACAAGUAAUGACAGAUCAAUGCGCAGGGAAUCGGCGGCGCACUUGCAAGCAAUCGGCAAGCAAAAUCAGCCCCACAAUGCACAGGUAGAAGAGCCGGUGGAUCUUGGGGAGGAGGGGGCUUGAAGAACUCGUGAGCAAAAUCAGCCCCAUAAUGCCAAAAACCCGUCACCCAUCUCCGGUUCAGCCAUUAUUACCUAGUUCAUCUUAAAUCUGUGGUCUACCAUCAACAAUCAAUCGAACCACAAUAAGAUCUCUAGCAGCAAGCAACACUAAAAUAGCAGUAAAAAGCAAUAGUAGCAAGCAACACUAAAAUAGCAGUAAAAAAGCAACAACAGCAAGCAUCACCACGCAGCAGGGCAGCGGUGCACAAGCAACAACAACUUGGGCAGCAGCAACGGUUCAGAAUUGGGAGCAGCAGCAAAAGCAACGCUAGCGGCCGGCGGCGACCGGCAGGCGGCGGCCGAGACUGAGCCCGACGCGCCUAACCCUAGGGACGGGACAGAGGGGGCGGGAGAGAGGGCCUCACCUUCCUAGCCGGGAUCCAGCCGCCGUUGAGGACCACCAGGUCCGCCGUCGUUGAGGCCCCCCGCGCAAGUCGUCGUCGUCGCCGUCCCCUUGUUCUUGUGGGCGAGAGGAAAGGGAACAAGGGCGAGCGAACCAUAACGAUAUCUC